UACGGAGAGGGCUAGCGUUAUUCGGAAUCAUUGGGCGUAAAGGGCGCGUAGGCGGGUUAGUAAGUUAAAAGUGAAAUCCCAAGGCUCAACCUUGGAACUGCUUUUAAAACUGCUAGUCUAGAGAUUGAAAGAGGAUAGAGGAAUUCCUAGUGUAGAGGUGAAAUUCGUAAAUAUUAGGAGGAACACCAGGUGGCGAAGGCGUCUAUCUGGUU
rnacentral:rRNA from 1 species